rnacentral:rRNA from 1 species
CCCCUGGGGGCCCCAGAAACCCUUUGUGAACUUAUACCUUACUGUUGCCUCGGCGCAUGCUGGCCCCCCCUGGGGGUCCCUCGGAGACGAGGAGCAGGCACGCCGGCGGCCAAGUCAACUCUUGUUUUUACACUGAAACUCUGAGAAAAAAACACAAAUGAAUCAAAACUUUCAACAACGGAUCUCUUGGUUCUGGCAUCGAUGAAGAACGCAGCGAAAUGCGAUAAGUAAUGUGAAUUGCAGAAUUCAGUGAAUCAUCCAAUCUUUGAACGCACAUUGCGCCCUCUGGUAUUCCGGAUGGCAUGCCUGAUCGAGCGUCCUUUCGACCCUCAAGCAUUGCUUGGUGUUGGGUUUUUGCCAAAUUUACGGGGAGAACUUGAAGCUAUCUCCGUCCACCCACUUAUUCCCCCCCCGUUCCCAAGAGCCCCACCUCCGGGAGCUUACGAGACCCAACCACUUAGAGGUUCCAAUUUACCAAAGCUUUUGGGGCGUUUUCAGUCUUCGCCCAUAUUCUUUAUACUGUUUUCACACAACAAUCUUGUU